CAUACGGGGGAAUGCCCCUUAGUACGGCGAGUGAGCGGCAAAAGCUCAAAUUUGAAAUCUGGCACCUUCGGUGUCCGAGUUGUAAUUUGAAGAAGGUAACUUUGGAGUUGGCUCUUGUCUAUGUUCCUUGGAACAGGACGUCACAGAGGGUGAGAAUCCCGUGCGAUGAGAUGCCCAAUUCUAUGUAAAGUGCUUUCGAAGAGUCGAGUUGUUUGGGAAUGCAGCUCUAAGUGGGUGGUAAAUUCCCAUCUAAAGCUAAAUAUUGGCGAGAGACCGAUAGCGAACAAGUACAGUGAUGGAAAGAUGAAAAGAACUUUGAAAAAGAGAGUGAAAAAAGUACGUGAAAUUUGUUGAAAGGGAAGGGCUUGAGAUCAGACUUGGUAUUUUGCGAUCCUUUCCUUCUUGGGUUGGGUUCCCUCGCAGCUUUACUGGGCCAGCAUCGGUUUGGAUGGUAGGAUAAUGACUAAGGAAUGUGGCUCUACUUCGGUGGAGUGUUAUAGCCUUGGUUGAUACUGCCUGGUCUAGACCGAAGGACUGGCGUCUUUUGACUUAGGAUGUUGGCAUAAUGAUCUUAAGCCACCCGUCUAAAAAAGGGGAACCAAAAAAAAAAAAAAUAAAAAUAAGGGGGGGGGGGGCGCCCGGCGCCCGGGGCGGGGCGCGGGUUCGAGUCCUCCCAGGGGUAAUUUCCU
rnacentral:rRNA from 1 species